GCCAGGUUUAGCCUGAGUUAGGAGUGGAAACUAAGGGACUUGAAUCUAGGCAGGAGGAGGUGGGAGUUCUCGUGUUGCACGAAAAGUGUGAGAUGUGGAGGAGCACGCUGUGGAAGACAGCCCCAUGGAUGAGAUCUGCGUUCAGGCACGAAAGCUAGGGAGCAAACAGGAAUUAGAUACCCUGGUAGUCCAAGCCCCUAACGAUGUAAACUAGUUGUGGGAUACCCAUUUCUCAUACCGCAGCUUAAGCGAGAAGUUGUCCCGCCUGGGGAGUACGGUCGCAAGAUUGAAAACUCAAAGGAAUUGACGGGGACCCGCACAAGCGGUGGAUGACGUGGUUUAAUUGAUGCAACGCGAAUAACCUUACCUACCCUUGACAUGUACGGAAGCCCUCAGAGAUGGGGGUGUGCCCGAAAGGGAGCCGUAACACAGGCGAUGCAUGGCUGUAGUCAGCUAGUGUCGUGAGAUGUUGGGUUAAGUCCCGCAACGAGCGCAACCCUUGUCCCUAGUUGCUACGCAAGGGCACUCUAGGGAGACUGCCGGUGACAAACCGGAGGAAGGUGGGGAUGACGUCAAGUCUUCUUGGCCCUUAUGGGUAGGGCUUCACACGUCAUACAAUGGCCGGUACAGAGGGUUGCCAAAGCGCGAGCUGGAGCCAAUCCCAGAAAGCCGGUCGUAGUCCGGAUUGCAGUUUGCAACUUGACUGCAUGAAGUCGGAAUCGCUAGUAAUCGCGGAUCAGCAUGUCGCGGUGAAUACGUUUCCGGGUCUUGUACACACCGCCCGUCACCCCAUGGGAGCGGGAUGUACCAGAAGUAGGUAGGCUAACCGCAAGGGGGCCGCUUACCACGGUGCGUUUUGUGACUGGGGUGAAGUCGUAACAAGGUAACC
rnacentral:rRNA from 1 species